AGUUGGGAUUUUUGUUAUUUUGGGUUAUAAGAACGAGAUCAAAGUGUGGUUUAUAUUGUUUUCGUUUCACCAUUUGAUGUGAAAUGGUAGAUCAAGUGUACAAUUGUGCUUGCAUUAGUUAUUAUCUCUAAUUUUUAUGUUACAAACCCAUCUUAUGGGAAUUGGUUUUCUCGAUGCCUUUAUUUACUUGCCAAUUUGUCUGAAACCCUAGCUCCAUCAUCAGAAAGGAAGUUCAAGAAGAUGAAGACCUUCAAUUAUCAAUGGCAGUUGCUCUACUCUUCUUCUCCUUCCUUCUCAGGGUUUAUCCUGCUAUAAUAUAAACGAGGUUGAUUCAUUUUGGCCUACAUUAUCGUCUUGAGUCUCUUGACUUUAAUCGUCUUUACCACUGUCGGACUGGAUUCUGAUAACCAGUAGUCAUUGUCGAAGAACAAGGGCACCAAUUGAGGCCGACUUUGUAUCACCUCUGCCAAGAGUAUUAACGUUCACCACACAUGUCUCACCAGUUGAUGUCGGCGCCAUCUUGUGUUUGUUUGUAACUAGCAAUUGACCGCUUCUUCAAGAGCUUGCCAAGCACGGGGGCUAUCAACUACUUAUAACUAACUGAGCGAAUUAUUUGUAUGUCUUCGGAAACUUUUGGGAAAAUCACAUACCAGGUUCUAGCAAAUGAUUGAGUGCAGUUUGUGUAUUUGUUCUACAAUCUGAUUACAAAAAACUUUCCAAUACCAUGACCAUCAGUUCUUAAAUUUUCAUAAUUCUAAUGUUGUUGAUAUUAAAGUAUAUUGAUAUAUUCUCACAUUUCUGGUGCAGGCCUGCCAUUGAGAUUGCUAAUGAAUUGAAUUCUCUAUACUUACUUGCUAACUAUAUUGAGGUUAAUUUUUUCGGUUGUUACUUUGCCUAUUAUUUUGUAGAUAUAUGUUGAGUUCAACAUUUAUAUUUAGGAUUUGUAGUCUCUGCAUUUAAAAUACAAAUGUAAUGUUCCUCUGGUGUUGAUGAAUCAUGUAAGUACACAAAAUGAGCCAACCAUGGUCAGGUAUCUUUCAUGUGAAGUUAAACAUUACACAUUUAUCUUUAUUUUGUUGCAGGCGCUAAUUGAUUAUAUUAAAAGUGACUUUGACAUCAAUGUUCACUGAGAACAUUACACACGCUGAACGGGUUCGGGUCAGUUUCAGGUUGAACCCGCGAACCCGUUUAGGUUAACGAGUCGGGUUCGGGUCAACCUGGUCGGGUUAGCGGGUUGACCCGUUUAACACAUUUAUAUUAUAUUUUUUUACAAUAUGUUUUGUGUCAUAAAUUAAAUUAAAUGGGGUAUGUUUUUAUUCCAUAAUU
rnacentral:lncRNA from 1 species